CAAUAAGCGGAGGAAAAGAAACCAACAGGGAUUGCCCCAGUAACGGCGAGUGAAGCGGCAAAAGCUCAAAUUUGAAAUCUGGCUCCUUCGGGGUCCGAGUUGUAAUUUGUAGAGGAUGCUUCGGGUGUGGCCACGACCUAAGUUCCUUGGAACAGGACGUCAUAGAGGGUGAGAAUCCCGUCUUGGGCCGUUGGUCCACGCCCGUGUGAAGCUCCUUCGACGAGUCGAGUUGUUUGGGAAUGCAGCUCUAAGCGGGUGGUAAAUUUCAUCUAAAGCUAAAUAUUGGCCGGAGACCGAUAGCGCACAAGUAGAGUGAUCGAAAGGUUAAAAGCACCUUGAAAAGGGAGUUAAACAGCACGUGAAAUUGUUGAAAGGGAAGCGCUUGCGGCCAGACUCGAGCGCAGGGUUCAGCGGGUGCGUGUCACCCGUGCACUCCCUGUCGCCCGGGCCAGCAUCAGUUCUAACGGCCGGUCAAAGGCCCCCGGAAUGUGUCGUCUCUCGGGACGUCUUAUAGCCGGGGGUGCAAUGCGGCCCGUCGGGACUGAGGAACGCGCUUCGGCUCGGAUGCUGGCAUAAUGGCCGUAAGCGGCCCGUCUUGAAACA
rnacentral:rRNA from 1 species